rnacentral:misc_RNA from 1 species
GGGCUCAGAUGGCUGCUGCAAUAGAGAAGUUGGAAGCACUGGAGGGCUUUGUAAACCAGGCAGAUCACCUUCGACAACAAACUUUGCAACAAAUGUCUCGGAUCCUAACAACACGGCAGGCAGCUCGAGGUUUACUUGCCCUGGGAGAAUAUUUUCACCGUCUCCGUGCUCUAAGUUCACUAUGGGCUGCUCGUCCUCGUGAACCCACCUAGUUUACAGACAUAAGAACCAGAAAAACCACGACAUCUAGGUUGAUUUACCACUAGCAUUCAU